AUUGAACGCUGGCGGCAGGCCUAACACAUGCAAGUCGAGCGAGCGGCGGACGGUUGAGUAAUGUCUGGGAAACUGCCUGAUGGAGGGGGAUAACUACUGUAAACGGUAGCUAAUACCGCAUACCAUCAGAUGUGCCCAGAUGGGAUUAGCUCGUGGGUGGGGUAACGGCUCACCUCGGCGACGAUCCCUAGCUGGUCUGAGAGGAUGACCAGCCAAACUGGAACUGAGAAACGGUCCAGACUCCUACGGGAGGCAGCAGUGGGGAAUAGGGCACAAUGGGCGAAAGCAGGAUGCAGCCAGGCCGCGUGGGGGAAGAAGGCCUUCGGGUUGUAAAGCACUUUCAGCGGGGAGGCGUUACCCGCAGAAGAAGCACCGGCUAACUCCGUGCCAGCAGCCGCGGUAAUAC
rnacentral:rRNA from 1 species